ACUGCCCCCUAGAUGCAUCACAGGCAUGGCUGCUGUGUCACAUGUGUAUCAGUAUGUGGCAGAAAGGAAAGAUGAUAUUUCCAUGCUCAGUAUCUGACCUGUGAACAUCUGAAUAAUUAGUAGCCUAACAUU